rnacentral:rRNA from 1 species
CCUACGGGAGGCAGCAGUGAGGAAUAUUGGUCAAUGGGCGAGAGUCUGAACCAGCCAAGUAGCGUGAGGGAAGACGGCCCUAUGGAUUGUAAACCUCUUUUAUCAGGGAAUAAUGCGAGGCACGUGUGCCUGUUGGCAGGUACUCUGUAAAUAAGGAUCGGCCAAAUCCGGUCCAGCAGCCGCGGUAAUACGGAGGGUCCGAACGUUUUCCGGAUUUAUUUGGGUUAAAGGGAGCGUAAGGGGGUUUUUUAGGUCGGUGUGAAAGUUUGCGGCUUAAACGUAAAAUUGCAGUUGAUACUGGCAGUCUUGAGUAGACUUGAGGUAUGCGGAAUGCGUGGUGUAGCGGUGAAAUGCAUAGAUAUCACGCAGAACCCCGAUUGCGAAGGCAGCUUACUAAACCGUGACUGACAUUGAGGCACGAAAGUGUGGGGAUCGAACAGGAUUAGAUACCCUGGUAGUC